rnacentral:rRNA from 1 species
AUGUAUCCACUGGCAUGGGCUGUUGUUGAGAAGGAAACAAAUGAAAGCAGGAAGUGGUUUAUUGGCUUGCUUAUUAAAGAUCUUGACAUUAAUAACAAUGGAGCUGGAUGGGUGUUCAUUUCAGAUCAGCGGAAGGGACUGAUUAAUGCUAUGCAGGACUAUCUGCCAAAUGCAGAGCACAUAAUUUGUGCUAGGCAUAUCUAUGCCAACUGGAGAAAGAAGCAUAGGGCACAUGAGUGGAAGAAGAAGUUCUGGGCAGUUGCCAAAGCAGCAAACAAGCAAGACUUCAACUACUACAAAGCAAAGCUAGCCCAAGAAACACCAGAUGGUGCAAAAGAUAUGAUGAGAACAAAGCCAGUACAUUGGGCAAGGGCAUUUUUUCUAGUGGGUUCCAACUGUGAAUCAGUUGACAAUAAUCUUUGUGAAUCUUUUAAUCAUGCAAUUGUUGAAGCAAGGUUUUAUCCAAUAAUUUCAAUGCAAGAAAAAAAUUAG